UAUUGUGACCUAGAGAAACUC
rnacentral:piRNA from 1 species